UUUCCGUAGGUGAACCUGCGGAAGGAUCAUUAUUGUAAAACCGAGGUUCGAGGGAUGUCGCUGACCCGAAAGGUAUUGCACGCUCGAUUCUCUUCACACCCAUCCAUCUCACCCCCAUGUUCACCACCGCGGGGGCCCCCCUUUGGCCUAUUCGGCGGGUGGCUUAUGUUUUCACACAAACUUUGAAUGGUGUGUAGUUUGAAUUAUGUGUUUUUUCGUUCUCGCAAUCAAUACAACUUCCAACAACGGAUCUCUUGGCCGUCGCAUCUCUGAAGAACG
rnacentral:misc_RNA from 1 species